GAUGAACGCUAGCUACAGGCUUAACACAUGCAAGUCGAGGGGUAACGAGAGGAAAGCUUGCUUUCCUUGUCGACGACCGGCGCACGGGUGAGUAACGCGUGUCCAACCUGCCCCCAACUAGGGAAUAACCUUGCGAAAGUAAGACUAAUACCCUAUAAUUUCCUCAGAUGCCAUCUGACGAGGAAUAAAGAUUUAUCGGUUGUGGAUGGGGAUGCGUCUGAUUAGCUUGUUGGCGGGGUAACGGCCCACCAAGGCAACGAUCAGUAGGGGUUCGGAGAGGAAGGUCCCCCACAUUGGAACUGAGACACGGUCCAAACUCCUACGGGAGGCAGCAGUGAGGAAUAUUGGUCAAUGGGCGGAAGCCUGAACCAGCCAAGUAGCGUGCGGGAUGACGGCCCUAUGGGUUGUAAACUGCUUUUAUACAGGAAUAAAGUUAGCCACGUGUGGUUAUUUGUAGGUACUGUAUGAAUAAGGACCGGCUAAUUCCGUGCCAGCCGCCGCGGUAA
rnacentral:rRNA from 1 species